rnacentral:lncRNA from 9 species
UCCCUAUCAUAUUACCAAGGACAUUCUUCACAGAAUUAGAACAUAAUAUUUUAAAAUUUGUGUGGAAACAAAAGAGACCAUGAAUACCCAAAGCAAUAUUGAAAAAGAAAAAUGGAAAUGGAGCAAUCAGGGUUCCUGACUUCAGACAAUACUACAAAGCUACAGUUAUCCAAACAAUAUGGUACUGGUACAAAAACAGAAAUCUAGAUCAAUAGAACAGGAUAGAAAGCCCAGAAAUAAACCCAAGCACCCUAAGGUCAACUAAUUUAUGACAAAGGAGGCUAUAACAUACAGUGGAAGAAAGAUAGUCUCUUCUAUAAAUGGUGCUGGGAAAACUGGAAAGCUACAUGUAAAAGAAUGAAAAUAGAACACUAACACCACACAAAAAAUAAACUCAAAAUGGAUUAAAGUCCUAAAUAUAAGGCCAGAUACUAUAAAACUCCUAGAGGAAAGCAUAGGCAGAACGCUCUUUGAUGUAAAUCACAGCAACAUCUUCUUUGACCCACCUCCUAAACUCAUGGGACCGAAUAAACUCAAAAGCUUUUGGCCAGCAAAGGAACCAUUAAAGAGAGAGAGAGAGAGAAAGAGAGAGAGAGAAGAAAGAAAGAGAGAAAGAAAGAGAGAAAGAAAGAAAGAAAGAAAGAAAGAAAGAAAGAAAGAAAGAAAGAAAGAAAGAAAGAAAAAGAAAGAAAGAAAGAAAAGAAAGAAAGAAAGAAAGAGAGGGAUAUAAAGAGAGAGAGAGAAAAUUUCCUAAAAUCUCACACACCUCCUUUUAACGAGAACAAUAUUGCUAGUUUCCAGAUUAGACAAUUCUAAAUCCAGCAGAUUUGGCAGAUCAUUUCAAUUUUCAUAUUCUCAAUUUUGAUACCAAUUAGAAAAAAACACCUAAAAAUGUUAUCUCAUUAACCAGGUAAUUCUACACAAAAUCUUAUAAAAGCUCACAUGAAAUCCUGAAGUCUUAGAGCUAGAAGUGAUUUCAAUAAUCAGGAUGUCCAGUUCUUUCAUUUUAAAAAUGUGGAAAAAUUAAGUUAAAUGAUAUCAAAUAUUUGUCCAAGGAGGUUGUCAGUUAAGGGAAGGGCAGGUCUAGAACCAAAUCUCUGAGUUUUCAGUCCUUUAUUCAGUAUACUUUCCCACAUUGCCUUUCGUAGUGUGUAUCCUGGUGGAUUAUAAGACAGGGGAGAGGAAUAGAAGACUCAGGAAGCUUUCAUAUACAAAUAUGGUUACAAAUUAUCAAAGCAUCAGCACCAAAAAUAUUCAGGUUGGAUUAUAUUCCUCUCUACUUAGGAGGAAUUAUCCCUAAUCCUUUCUGUAUUCUGCAUGGGAAUCCCAGGGCAGGAAUAGGAAAGAGAUAAUCAGAAAGCCUCCUGUUUCUCACUUUAAUUUCCCCUUCCUCAAGAUACUUUCCCCAAUCUUUGGGGAAACUGUCAAAAUAAAUAUAAAAUCUAAGUGCAUGAUGGGAGCCCUUGAACUGUGUAAUACAAGGUAUGUACAAUCACACACCAUGGCCAUGUGCCCAGGAAGGUGCUUCUUCCUUAAACUAAUCAAUGAUUGUCUUUAGGUUCAUCCUAUUUAGGAACUCCUAACCCUACUAGUGACCCUAACCUAGUCUUAACUUUGCCCAAGAGGUAAAUGUCUUUUUCUUUUUGAGGGUGUUCUGUGGCCUUUCUUUUGGAUCGGUCUUUUUUUUUUUUGGUCUUUUUGCCAUUUCUUGGGCCACUCCCAUGGCAUAUGGAGGUUCCCAGGCUAGGGGUCUAACAGGCGCUGUAGCUGCCAGCCUAUACCACAGCCACAGCAACUCGGGAUCCGAGCAGCGUCUGCAACCUACACCAUAGCUCACAGCAACGCCGGAUCCUUAACCCACUGAGCAAAGGCAGGGAUGGAACCUGCAACCUCAUGGUUCCUAGUCGGAUUUGUUAACCACUGCACUAUGACAGGAACUCCUCUUUUGGAUCAGUCUUAUCUAGAUGGUCACUGCAUUAAAAUUUCAUCGAAAACACAUAAAAUGCAUGGAAAAAAACCCACACCACUGUUAUCAGGCAAUUCCAGGUAGUAAAGCCUAGUAAGGUGUAUGAGGCAUUCAGAGGUCCAAGCAAGCCAAGUACUGGGAUGAUAAGUUGGGCUUGGUCUUGAGGAUUUUCUCCUCUUUCUAUAUACUCACUGCCUAGGGGAUCCCAUUUGGUUCCAUGACUUUAAAUACCACCCAUAUACUGGCAGCUUCCAUAAUUUUAUGUCCUGAACCAAACUCUCCCCUAAAGUAAUCUCCUAUAUAGAAUUCCCUACUCAGUUUCUCUUUGUACAAAAGGCAAUUCAGACUUAAAAUGUUCAAAACCAAAUGGUGUAUUUUCCCCCCUGCAAACUUCUUCCUCAUAUAAUUUUUCUUUUCUCAACAAAUAAAAAUUCUGUCCUUCCAGUAUUUAAGCCAGAAAAAAAAAAAAAAAAAAAGGAAUAAAUGCUAGAGAGGGUGUGGAGAAAGGGAACCCUCCUACACUUUGGUGAGAACAUAAGCUGGUGUAACACUAUGGAGAACGGUAUGGAGAUCCCUUAAAAUAAAUAUAGAACUACCAUAUGAUCCAGCAAUACCCACUCCUUCCCUACCCAAUCCAGUAAGACCCAUCUCUUUUCUAUUCUCCAGAUAAGCCGUGCUCAUCUCUGCCUCACUUGCUCAUGACCACACAGGGCACAUGCCCUGACUUUAAUAGAAUAUGGUAUAUAGAUAACUACAUUUAUACAUUUGCUAAAUUUGAGGAUAGCUAUUCAUGAUAGCAAAUUGGUGUUCAUUUUACCAAUUAAUAAGUUAAAAAUUUCCUCAAGAUAUCCAAAAUCCUGAGAUUUUAUGCCACUAAAAAUUCCAUUUGAUUGGCAAACUUUCAUUUAGACCUGAAAUUUUAAGUCUAGGAGUUCCCACUGUGGCACAGCAGAAACAAACCUGACUAGUAUCCAUGAGGACACAGGUUCGAUCCCCGGCUUUGCCGUGAGCUGUGGUGUAGGCUACAGACACAGGUGAGAUCCUGUGUUGCUGUGGCUGUGGCACAGGCCACCAGUUGUAGCUCUGAUUUGACCCCUAGCCUGGGAGCUUCCAUAUGCCUUGGGUGUAGCCCUAAAAAGCAAAAACAGAAAUUUUAAGUUUUAUCAAAACGUAAUUUUCCUGGAGUUCCCGUUGUGGCUCAUCAGAAACAAGUCUGACUAGUAUCCAUGAGGACGCAGGUUCGAUCCCUGGCCUCACUCAGGGUUUGAGGAUCUGGCAUUGCCAUGAUCUGUGAUGUAGGUCGCAGCCAUGACUCAGAUCUGGAGUUGCUGUGGCUGUGGCGUAGGCCAGUAACUACAGCUCCAAUUCGACCCCUAGCCUGGGAACCUCCAUAUGCCACAGGUAUGGCCCUAAAAAGACAAAAAACAAAACAAAACAAACAAACAAACAAAAAUAAUUUUCCAGGAAUUUCUCAACCAGAAUGAUACUUCCAAAAUGCAAAAUCUGUCCUCUGACAUGUUAGAGCAACUAAUAAUUUGAUAUGCAAAGUGUCCCUGAAAAUGCACUCUACCAUGAAACUUAUUUAUAACUUGAAUGUCGAAAAUCUGACCCAAUGGGAAUAAACAGUUUCCUCUCUCACUUAAAUAAAAUAGGAGAGAAAGUAAAGAGAAUCAGAGGCACAGAGAGACAGAGACAGACUUUAUAGGUUGGAGAAGAAAGGCUUAGUUCCUAAGAAUUCCAUUUAUGUGUUAACUACUGUCAAAUAUAUUUUAUUCUGUAGGAUUUUAACAUCAGAUGGGUAAACAUGAUAAAACUUUCUUUUUCCUCUAAAGGUUUGCUGAAAUCCAAUCUUCAUCAGAGUGAAAGUUCUGGUUUGAAGUUGACUUAGUGAAGCAAUAUUUGGAUUCAUAUUUUUAUGUCUUGAGAAUUCACUCAAACACGACGAUGAGACAGUGGCAAGAUUUUCUAGCGUUAUACAUU